UGUCUAUAGGUUUCCCAGUCAUUAACUGUCUAUAGGUUUCUGGGUCACUAACUGUCUAUAGGUUUCCCAGUCACUAACUGUCUAUAGGUUUCCCAGUCACUAACUGUCUAUAGGUUCUCAGUCACUAACUGUCUAUAGGUUUCCCAGUCACUAACUGUCUAUAGGUUUCCCAGUCACUAACUGUCUAUAGGUUUCCCAGUCACUAACUGUCUAUAGGUUUCCCAGUCUGACUAACUGUCUAUAGGUUUCCCUGUCACUAACUGUCUAUAGGUUUCCCAGUCACUAACUGUCUAUAGGUUUCCCAGUCACUAACUGUCUAUAGGUUUCCCAGUCACUAACUGUCUAUAGGUUUCCGAGUCACUAACUGUCUAUAGGUUUCCGAGUCACUAACUGUCUAUAGGUUUCCCAGUCACUAACUGUCUAUAGGUUUCCCAGUCACUAACUGUCUAUAGGUUUCCCAGUCACUAACUGUCUAUAGGUUUCCCAGUCUGACUAACUGUCUAUAGGUUUCCCAGUCACUAACUGUCUAUAGGUUUCCCAGUCACUAACUGUCUAUAGGUUUCCCAGUCACUAACUGUCUAUAGGUUUCCCAGUCACUAACUGUCUAUAGGUUUCCGAGUCACUAACUGUCUAUAGGUUUCCGAGUCACUAACUGUCUAUAGGUUUCCCAGUCACUAACUGUCUAUAGGUUUCCCAGUCACUAACUGUCUAUAGGUUUCCCAGUCAUUAACUGUCUAUAGGUUUCCCAGUCACUAACUGUCUAUAGGUUUCCCAGUCACUAACUGUCUAUAGGUUUCCCAGUCACUAACUGUCUAUAGGUUUCCGAGUCACUAACUGUCUAUAGGUUUCCCAGUCACUAACUGUCUAUAGGUUUCCGAGUCACUAACUGUCUAUAGGUUUCCGAGUCACUAACUGUCUAUAGGUUUCCCAGUCACUAACUGUCUAUAGGUUUCCCAGUCACUAACUGUCUAUAGGUUUCCGAGUCACUAACUGUCUAUAGGUUUCCGAGUCACUAACUGUCUAUAGGUUUCCGAGUCACUAACUGUCUAUAGGUUUCCCAGUCACUAACUGUCUAUAGGUUUCCGAGUCACUAACUGUCUAUAGGUUUCCGAGUCACUAACUGUCUAUAGGUUUCCGAGUCACUAACUGUCUAAAGGUUUCCGAGUCACUAACUGUCUAUAGGUUUCCCAGUCACUAACUGUCUAUAGGUUUCCCAGUCACUAACUGUCUAUAGGUUUCCGAGUCACUAACUGUCUAUAGGUUUCCCAGUCAGUAACUGUCUAUAGGUUUCCCAGUCACUAACUGUCUAUAGAUUUCAGAGUCACUAACUGUCUAUAGGUUUCCCAGUCACUAACUGUCUAUAGGUUUCCCAGUCACUAACUGUCUAUAGGUUUCCCAGUCACUAACUGUCUAUAGGUUUCCCAGUCAUUAACUGUCUAUAGGUUUCCCAGUCAUUAACUGUCUAUAGGUUUCUGGGUCACUAACUGUCUUUAGGUUUCCCAGUCACUAACUGUCUAUAGGUUUCCCAGUCACUAACUGUCUAUAGGUUUCCCAGUCACUAACUGUCUAUAGAUUUCAGAGUCACUAACUGUCUAUAGGUUUCCCAGUCACUAACUGUCUAUAGGUUUCCCAGUCACUAACUGUCUAUAGGUUUCUGAGUCACUAACUGUCUAUAGGUUUCCAAGAUACUUACUGUCUGUAUGUUUACAUGUUGCUAACUUUCUGUAGGUUUCCAAGACGCUCAUAUUCGUAAUUUUUUAACUAUUCGAGUCAAUAACUGUCGGUUUUCCAAGUCACUAACUGUCUGAAAGUUUCUGAGUCACUAACUGUCUCUAGAAUUUCAAGUUUCUAGCUUUCUGUAGGUUUCCGAUUCCUUAACUGUUCUGUAGGUUUCCGAUUCCUUAACUGUUCUGUAGGUUUCCGAUUCCUUAACUGUUCUGUAGAUUUCUGAUCCCUUAUCUGUUUGUAGGUUUUUGUGUCAUUAACUGUUUGUAGGUUAUUGUGUCAUUAACUGUUUGUAGGUUAUUGUGUCAUUAACUGUUUGUAGGUCAUUGUGUCAUUAACUGUUUGUAGGUUAUUGUGUCAUUAACUGUUUUGAAUACUUUUAAUCAAUUAGUUUGUUAGUUUGUGUUUUUUUGUUGUUGAUAAAUACAAUAUGUUUAGUAAAAAUGUUGUCACGCGCAAUCUCCAGUUUGAGGAAAGUCCUCAAACUGGAGAUCUCCAGUUUGUCAACAUUUGAUCCUUGACAGGUAUGACAACAAUACACCAUACUGCUGAUGCAAAACAACUGACUAUACUUUGUAUAUACAAGUUUGCAUCUAACAAAGGGCAAUAACUCUGUAAAUACUUAAAAAGGCCAACAUCUUUAUUACACACUUGCCAACACAUAUAAUCACAACAGAAUAUCAUUCAAUAAGUUGAACUAAUCUUGCUUAGCAGAAAUGUUAUUUAGCAGAUCAGAUACCCCCCAACCAGAAUACUUGAUGGUAGGAUUUGACAUGAUGGCUGAAAAACUAUAAUAACCGGUAUGUUUGCAUUUUACAUAUAUAUCAUGUGUAUUUCAUCACCAAUGGUAUUUUAUAACCGAGUCUAUAUUCUAAUCUGAUCGACAAAACAAUUCUAACUUCUAUUGCUGACAGCUGUAUAGUGUAUCAUGUUGUAGGUGACCGACUCCAAUCUUACAUACAUAUACAUGUGAUUGGGAUGUCAGACAAGUCACCAGAACACCAGGAAGACAGAAAUGUACUCCAGCUUCGAUACUGAUCUGACGUAAUUUGGCAGGCAUACUACACCAGUAUAUCAGGUGUAGGAAUACUGGGAGAUGUGACUGUUAUCAUCAUUACAACUUCACUUCUGUAAAUAUGAUCAAAAUACUUCAAUAAAUAAAAUUUGACAAAACAAUAUACAUGUACAUGUACAUGACAAUUUUACCAUUGUAAAUACCAUUAAAAUACUGAAGAUUAAAUGACAAGCGAAAACAUCAGUUUUUGAAUGAGAGACUCACUAGCCCUCCUCUUAGCCCCUAUUGCACUUGGGGCUGACCCCAGGGCUCCUCAACCCUGGCAGUCAAUUUGCUGGGGGGGGGAUCAUUGUAAUUCAUGUUUACAAGACUAAAAUAUUUCAUCAAAUUAAAUGAAUAAAAAUAUCCAUGGUAUGUAAACCAGACUAGACAUGUAUGUACCUAAGUAUCUUGAAAAACUUUUCACAAAAAAUGCAAAUAAAAAUCUUCUGACAACAAUAUACAUGUGCCAGCACAUUUCAAUAACAUUUCUAGGUAGACUUGAUGGAUUGAUUCCAUGUUCAUAUAGACUUUUCAAGUUAAAACUAAAGUAUUUUUGUGUUAUUUCUUAUGCAUUUCCUUGCAAAAACCAACUUUGAGAUUUUCUGCUUAACAAAUUCAUAUUGAAAUAAAACUGGUCAUUCAUAAAUGAUUUUGAAAAUAUGAAGAAUGACAAAAAGCCUUCAUGCAAAGAAAUGAUAUUGGUGUCAAAACUUGACAAACAGCGUAACAAUAUGCAUUUGAUAUCUGGACAAAUUUUUUGUAUUGACGAGGAAUGUUAUCAUGGUUUCACAAAUCUAGAUCAUUAAAUCAAGUGCCGUGGAUAAAUCCACUCUGAAGAAUUAUUAUUUGGGUGGAAAGUCCUCUGGCUUUGUUUGGCUUUAACAUUACACAAAGACAGUUUCUAGAUUAAGUUGUGUUUGACACCGAUUUUGACAAGGACAUGUUAAAAUUACAUAUACAUGUACAAUUUACAUAUAAAGAAUAUGAAACUUGGGCCUAUGUGGUACAGAAAUUAUCAAAUGAUUGUGGUACACUGUGAAUAUAUGGACAUAGGAGUGGAAGAUUCUAUUUAUCACAAAACUCACAAGAAAUUAAGAGAAAACCAAUUCAUUGAUUCAUUUUCUAAUAAGACAAGCAAAUUUUGAUGCGAGUGGUAUAUUUUCACCAUCAAGACAAUCGUGUUACAUCAUUAAUUUGAUUAAAUUUAUGACAAUAGCUUUAUUACAUGUUUGCCGUACAAUGUUCAUGGCAUGGGUAAACAUGUGUAUAAGAGAACAGGUUAGUCACAUCAUAAUACUAAUAAUAACAUAUUAUACUGCAAAAAGUUCUACUUUAAUGACAAAAUCUUGUUGAAUGAUCAAGAAAAUAGUUACGAUAAUAAACUUUCGUUGUUUAUAUGGAAAAUGGAAUUAAAUACUGGUAUAUAAGACUAUAUCCAAAUAAAAUACAAAUACCAGGUACCUAUAAUGUAAUGUAAAUUCAAAUAUAAUUCCAUAAUAACAAUAUAAGUUUUGAAAACUUUACCAACAUCAAGUGAAACUGGACAUAUAAUAGAUCAUGCUGAAAAUUUUUCCUCUGUUUACACAUGCAUUAAUAACAGUAAUUGAUAUUGUUAGGUUAAUUAAGUUGGUUGAUUGACUAAAAACUUUGAUAAAAUUAUGAUAAACAUGAUGACUUAAAGGAGCGCUACUACAAUGUAAACGUAGGAUAUUAGUAUCAUGGUAGUUUUAACUGUCCUUUCAAUAUCCAAAUUAUUAAUACAUGUAUAAUCAAGUCGUUGAGAUUUUCCUUUGAAAAAAAUGCAAGAUGAAUACAAUGCUGUUACAUAAAUCCCAAUAUAUGUCCUAAUAAAUAAGACAGGCAUUUGAUUGGUCAAGGGAGUGUCCUAAGGCACUUUUCCAUGAUAUGUAUGCAAACAAGCCUUCAAGAAACGUUAUCACAUUGUCAGUAUUUUGGCUGAUGUAAAGUAUUUAAAAAUAAAUUUGACUUUUUAUGGCGUAAUGAAUGUUAAAUUUAUUGAUAAUUAAAAAUGUCAAUCUUGGUAGAAACAACAUCUGCAACUGUAAAGACCAUUUUGGGUUAAUUAUUUUUCUUCUUUUUUUAGAGGAUAUAAUAAAUUCUGGAAAAAUAGACAUAUUGACAGUACAAAGUAACGU